CAAUUACUCCCUCCGUCCCAAAAUUCUUGUCUUAGAUUUGUCUAGAUACGGAUGUAUCUAAUACUAAAACGUGACUUGAUAUAUCUGUAUUUAGACAAAUUUAAGACAAGAAUUUUGGGACGGAGGGAGUACAUU
rnacentral:pre_miRNA from 1 species